rnacentral:tRNA from 1 species
GCCAGUGUGACAUAGUGGUUUGAGUGUUGGACUAGGAUUCUGGAGACCAGGGAUCGAAUCUUGCCUUGGCC